rnacentral:rRNA from 1 species
GUGGUGCAUGGUUGUUGUCAGCUCGUGUACUGAGAUGUUGGGUUAAGUCCCGCAACGAGCGCAACCCUUAUCCUUAGUAGCCAGCAGGGAAAGCUGGGCACUCUAGUGGGACUGCCAGGGAUAACUUGGAGGAAGGUGGGGAUGACGUCAAAUCAUCAUGCCCCUUAUGAUUUGGGCUACACACGUGCUACAAUGGCGUAAACAAAUGGAAGCGAAGUGGGGACAUGGAGCGAACCCCAAAAAUAACGUAUCAGUUUGGAUUUCAGGCUGCAACCCUCUUGCACGAAGCAGGAAUCAAUAGUAAUCGCAGAUCAGAAUGUUGCGGUGAAUUCGUUCCCGGGUCUUGUACACACCGCCCGUCACACCAUGGGAGUCGAUAACGCCCGAAGUCAGUGACCCAACCGAAAGGGGGGAGCUGCCGAAGGCGGGAUGGAUAACUGGGGUGAAGUCGUAACAAGGUAGCCGUAUCGGAAGGUGCGGUUGGAUCACCUCU